CCGGCGAAUGCCGGUGGAACUACAGGACAGCGUGGUCGCGGGUUCGAGUCCCGUUCACCGCAAGGUGCUAGCUCAGAGGCAGAGCGCGCUGCAUGUUUCACCUCCACUUGUCGCCGUUUG
rnacentral:Y_RNA from 1 species